AAUAGAAGCAUGAUAAAUUAAAUUUUUUCUCCUAAUUUUUAGCUUUUUCUUGUUGAAAAAAUUUAAAUCCAACUAAAAAUAUUAAAAAUUAGAAGGAAAAUCUGAUUUGUCAUAUUCCUAUU
rfam:Gossypium hirsutum cultivar TM-1 chromosome 11, whole genome shotgun sequence